rnacentral:scaRNA from 1 species
UUAUUUAAUAUGGACUCUGUUAUUUAACAAUUAUGGACAUUCUAAUUGUCCACUAGCAGGUAAACUUCAGAGGGGGCCCGCCUAAGGUCGGCCCAAGAGGUCAAGCCUACGUCAUAAUUUGUGGUAGCGGAGGCCUGCGUUUGCGCGGCCUCUAA